rnacentral:rRNA from 1 species
UGAACGCUGGCGGCUGCUUAACACAUGCAAGUCGAACGAAACACCUUAUUUGAUUUUCUUCGGAACUGAAGAUUUGGUGAUUGAGUGGCGGACGGGUGAGUAACGCGUGGGUAACCUGCCCUGUACAGGGGGAUAACAGUCAGAAAUGACUGCUAAUACCGCAUAAGACCACAGCACCGCAUGGUGCAGGGGUAAAAACUCCGGUGGUACAGGAUGGACCCGCGUCUGAUUAGCUGGUUGGUGAGGUAACGGCUCACCAAGGCGACGAUCAGUAGCCGGCUUGAGAGAGUGAACGGCCACAUUGGGACUGAGACACGGCCCAAACUCCUACGGGAGGCAGCAGUGGGGAAUAUUGCACAAUGGGGGGAACCCUGAUGCAGCGACGCCGCGUGAGUGAAGAAGUAUCUCGGUAUGUAAAGCUCUAUCAGCAGGGAAGAAAAUGACGGUACCUGACUAAGAAGCCCCGGCUAACUACGUGCCAGCAGCCGCGGUAAUACGUAGGGGGCAAGCGUUAUCCGGAAUUACUGGGUGUAAAGGGUGCGUAGGUGGUAUGGCAAGUCAGAAGUGAAAACCCAGGGCUUAACUCUGGGACUGCUUUUGAAACUGUCAGACUGGAGUGCAGGAGAGGUAAGCGGAAUUCCUAGUGUAGCGGUGAAAUGCGUAGAUAUUAGGAGGAACAUCAG